AUUGAACGCUGGCGGCAUGCCUUACACAUGCAAGUCGAACGGUAACAGGUCUUCGGAUGCUGACGAGUGGCGAACGGGUGAGUAAUACAUCGGAACGUGCCCGAUCGUGGGGGAUAACGGAGCGAAAGCUUUGCUAAUACCGCAUACGAUCUACGGAUGAAAGCAGGGGACCGCAAGGCCUUGCGCGGACGGAGCGGCCGAUGGCAGAUUAGGUAGUUGGUGGGAUAAAAGCUUACCAAGCCGACGAUCUGUAGCUGGUCUGAGAGGACGACCAGCCACACUGGGACUGAGACACGGCCCAGACUCCUACGGGAGGCAGCAGUGGGGAAUUUUGGACAAUGGGCGAAAGCCUGAUCCAGCCAUGCCGCGUGCAGGAUGAAGGCCUUCGGGUUGUAAACUGCUUUUGUACGGAACGAAAAGACUCUUUCUAAUAAAGAGGGUCCAUGACGGUACCGUAAGAAUAAGUACCGGCUAACUACGUG
rnacentral:rRNA from 1 species